rnacentral:rRNA from 1 species
GCGACGCGGCGGCAGGCUACCAUGCAUUGAACGGAUCUUCGGGAUUCGUGGCGGACGGGUGAGUACACGUGGGAACGUGCCCUUUGGUUCGGAACAACUCAGGGAAACUUGAGCUAAUACCGGAUGUGCCCUUCGGGGGAAAGAUUUAUCGCCAUUGGAGCGGCCCGCGUCUGAUUAGCUAGUUGGUGGGGUAAAGGCCCACCAAGGCGACGAUCAGUAGCUGGUCUGAGAGGAUGAUCAGCCACAUUGGGACUGAGACACGGCCCAAACUCCUACGGGAGGCAGCAGUGGGGAAUCUUGCGCAAUGGGCGAAAGCCUGACGCAGCCAUGCCGCGUGAAUGAUGAAGGUCUUAGGAUUGUAAAAUUCUUUCACCGGGGACGAUAAUGACGGUACCCGGAGAAGAAGCCCCGGCUAACUUCGUGCCAGCAGCCGCGGUAAUACGAAGGGGGCUAGCGUUGCUCGGAAUUACUGGGCGUAAAGGGAGCGUAGGCGGACUGUUAAGUUAGAGGUGAAAGCCCCAGGCUCAACCUUGGAAUUGCCUUUGAUACUGGCAGUCUUGAGUACGGAAGAGGUAUGUGGAACUCCGAGUGUAGAGGUGAAAUUCGUAGAUAUUCGGAAGAACACCAGUGGCGAAGGC